CGUGUAGGCGGAUGGGAACGUCGGCUACUGAAAGCCCCCGGCUCAACCGGGGAAGUGGUGCCGAAACGACCUGUCUGGAGGGACGUAGGGGGAUCUGGAACUUCCGGUGGAGCGGUGAAAUGCGUUGAGAUCGGAAGGAACGCCCGUGGCGCAAGCGAGGUCCUGGACGUCUGCUGACGCUGAGACGCGAAAGCUAGGGGGAGCAAACGGGAUUAGAUACCCCGGUAGUCCCUAGCCGUAAACGAUGGGCACUGGGUAGGGGGCUCGCCGAUGGGCUCUCUGCCGUAGCGAAAGCGUGAAGUGCCCCGCCUGGGGAGUAUGGUCGCAAGGCUGAAA
rnacentral:rRNA from 1 species